GACAGAGGGUGCAAACGUUGUUCGGAAUUACUGGGCGUAAAGCGCGUGUAGGCGGCUAUGCAAGUCGGAUGUGAAAUCCCCAGGCUUAACCUGGGAACUGCAUCCGAUACUGGAUGGCUUGAAUCCGGGAGAGGGAUGCGGAAUUCCAGGUGUAGCGGUGAAAUGACGUAGAUAUCUGGAGGAAUACCGGUGGCGAAGGCGGCAUCCUGGGAUGACACUGACGCUCAUGCACGAAAGCGUGGGGAGCAAACAGG
rnacentral:rRNA from 1 species